GCUACAAUGGCGAGUACNAAGGGCUGCUACCUGGUGACAGGAUGCUAAUCUCAANAAACUCGUCUCAGUUCAGAUUGGAGUCUNCAACUCGACUCCAUGAAGCUGGAAUCGCUAGUAAUCGUAUAUCAGCAAUGAUACGGUGAAUACGUUCCCGGACCUUGUACACACCGCCCGUCAAGCCAUGGAAGCUGGGUGUACCUAAAGUCGAUAACCGUAAGGAGUCGCCUAGGGUAAAACUAGUAACUGGGGCUAAGUCGUAACAAGGUUACC
rnacentral:rRNA from 1 species